rnacentral:rRNA from 1 species
CCUACGGGUGGCAGCAGUGAGGAAUAUUGGUCAAUGGACGAGAGUCUGAACCAGCCAAGUAGCGUGAAGGAUGACUGCCCUAUGGGUUGUAAACUUCUUUUAUAUGGGAAUAAAACGUUCCACGUGUGGGAUUUUGUAUGUACCAUAUGAAUAAGGAUCGGCUAACUCCGUGCCAGCAGCCGCGGUAAUACGGAGGAUCCGAGCGUUGUCCGGAUUUAUUGGGUGUAAAGGGAGCGUAGGUGGAUUGUUAAGUCAGUUGUGAAAGUUUGCGGCUCAACCGUAAAAGUGCAGUUGAAACUGGCAGUCUUGAGUACAGGAGAGGUGGGCGGAAUUCGUGGUGUAGCGGUGAAAUGCUUAGAUAUCACGAAGAACUCCGAUUGCGAAGGCAGUUCACUGGACUGCAACUGACGCUGAGGCUCGAAAGUGUGGGUAUCAAACAGGAUUAGAUACCCUUGUAGUC